CCUACGGGAGGCAGCAGUGAGGAAUAUUGGUCAAUGGGCGCGAGCCUGAACCAGCCAAGUAGCGUGAAGGAUGACUGCCCUACGGGUUGUAAACUUCUUUUAUAAAGGAAUAAAGUGAGGCACGUGUGCCGUUUUGUAUGUACUUGAUGAAUAAGGAUCGGCUAACUCCGUGCCAGCAGCCGCGGUAAUACGGAGGAUCCGAGCGUUAUCCGGAUUUAUUGGGUUUAAAGGGAGCGUAGAGGGGUUGUUAAGUCAGUUGUGAAAGUUUGCGGCUCCACCGUAAAAUUGCAAUUGAUACUGGCAGUCUUGAGUACAGUUGAGGUAGGCGGACUUCGUGGUGUAGCGGUGCACUGCUUAGAUAUCAC
rnacentral:rRNA from 1 species